rnacentral:rRNA from 1 species
UACGUAGGGUGCAAGCGUUAAUCGGAAUUACUGGGCGUAAAGCGUGCGCAGGCGGUUUUGUAAGUUUGUCGUGAAAUCCCCGGGCUCAACCUGGGAAUGGCGAUGAAGACUGCAAGGCUAGAAUCUGGCAGAGGGGGGUAGAAUUCCACGUGUAGCAGUGAAAUGCGUAGAGAUGUGGAGGAACACCGAUGGCGAAGGCAGUUCUCUGGGCCGUAACUGACGCUGAGGAGGCGAAA